CUAGAUCUAAUCGGUGCGCACAACAUGGAUCCAACGGCCAAAGGGAUUUCUUCCCAACCAGCUGGACAACCACGGCAGCGCACCAAAAUCUCACGGUGGUGCUCCACCGACGCACCCCAAUCGGCGCCCCGAGCUUUCGUUUUCCCAAACCGUUAGGUGCUAAAUCGAGAGGGAAGCAAGGUGAAAAGCUUGGGAAUGCACACACCUUGAAUAAUGUCGCGCCAUGCUUGGUUGACGACGAAUGGCGGCCCACGGCGGAGCACUAUCUCCGGUGAGCAAUUACUGGUGCUCCGGUGGAUUACUUCACCCGGGAAGGCCAAGAAAACCACCAUAACAACCCAAUGAAUCCCCCAAGCCCUUAGAUUGUCCCGAAUAACGAAAAGGUCAAGGAUUUCAAUGGCACCCCCUGUUCUCGCCCGCACACGACGAGGGGGCAUGCUGGUGGCUCACUGCGACCCGACUGCUUGUGCAAGGCAGAGGAGGUCUAGGUUAUAUAAUGGCCGAGGGAGAGAGUUCGGCGAUGGGGUUUGGCUGCAGCAGCGGGGUUCGCGGAGGAUCCCAACCUCCCGCCGAAGCUGCGGUCUCCGAUCCGUAAGCAUCGGUGUUCGUCUCAACGGGGAAGAAGACCAGACAAGUGGGACCCGACUGCAGUGGCCCAAACGUGCACUGCUGAGGAGAAAACGGCUGACAAGCGGGGGCCCACCGGCAGAGGUCUUGGGUGAGACUGGCGCGCGCGCAACAAGGGCUGAGAAGUGGGCCCCACACGGCGGUGACACAGGGCGCGCUGGCGUGACAGCUGGCGGGCUGCGCGCGUGAGAGUGGAAAUGGGCCGGGUGAAGCAGUUUCGGCCCAUGUGCUGAGAUGAGAGAUUUUUAUUUUCUGCAUUCUAAUUUAUUUUCAGUUUUCAAGUUCAAAUUGAAACAUGAGUUUCAAAUUCUAUUCUAAAUGCAACAUCCACAAUAUCGACAUGAAUGUAGAUUAUAUAUUUUUAUAAAUCUAUAUAUUUAUAUUAAUUAUUUUAUUCACUUGUUUAGUUAAAGGCUCAAAAUGUGACAUCCACUCAUUUUAUUUCAUUUUAGGAAAGAAAUUACUUUUGAGUAUGGGAUCAACUUUCAAGUUAACUAAAACUAAUAUCCAUUACCCUACUCAUUUUGGGAAAAUAAUGUAUUCUCUUUUACCAAGAGUCACUUAAUCUUUAAUAUAUUUUUAUUUAAGAGCAUUCUUUUAAAUUUCAUGAGGAGAAUAUCUUAUCCUACUAGAUUGAAGAUAUUUCUAUUUUUUUCUUAUGUUCACUCAAUUUCUUAGUGUUACUUUCUUAUAAAAGACAUAGAAGGAAUACAUGAACUCCUAACACAUUUUAGGGUUUACAAAUCCUACCCCCCUUAACAGAAAUCUCGUCCUCGAGAUUUGUAAGCAAAGGGAUAGAGAAGGAUUGGUUUGUAAUUUUAGCUCUUAGUUUAUAAUUGGUUCAAAAUCCAGAGUCUCAUUUUUUUUAUUUUCUUUAUAGUCAAUAGUGGGUGAUUAGGAGAGCGUAGGUAUCCAGCUACUAUUAGGUAGGAUAUGAGCUGGACAGGUUGAGGUAAGAAAGAUUAUGGCAAGAAAAAGACUUUAUCUAAAAUGUUUAAGUCUUGACUCGUUGACUGUUAUAUCCUUCCUUGUUGAUGUUGAUCUUUUCUUCUCCGGUCUUGGUCUCAUUGAUUCGCGGUGAGUGCAUAUCAUCGGGGUUGGGAAAUAUGGUUAGGAUAGCUAUGGAUGAGAUAGACUACAUGAUGUAGGUCAAAAUUUUGUUUGAUGAUAGGUGGGGAUAGACAGAUUAUGCAUUCCAUAAAGACUCUAUUGGUUGGGUUGGUCUGUCAUUCUUUAUUUAGUGCACAGAGUGAACUAAGUUAAAGCAUGUGGAUAGGGUCUAAUCUAUUUCACAAGUAUUAACUUAUCCAUUAAGUAACUCACUUUAGAUUGGACCAUAUUAGAUUAGUUGGGAUCUAGAUUAGAUUGGUAUGACUAACUUGACUAGAUAAGAUCUAAUUAAUUUGCAUUAGAUCAUGGUUGUUAAACUAGGGUGGAUAAGUAUGCUUAUUAUGAUACGAUGGAUCCAUAAAGAUAAGAUAGAAUCUUUUGAGGUCAGUUAGAUCUAUUAGGAUGACAUAAAAUCUCUUCAAGAUAAGAUGUAUUUAUUAAGAUAAGAAGGACUCUUUUAAAAUGAGAUGGAUCUAUUAAGAUAAGAGAGAGAGUCUUUUAAGAUAGGGUGGAUCUAUUAAGCUAGAUACAUUUUUAAUGACGGACAUUCUUAGUUUGUAUAGUCAUCUUAUGAUUUAUUUAUUUAUUUAUUUAUAUUUAUGCCUUUACGUAUAUGUAGAUGUAAUUGUGGACAUUACUCCACAACUCAUCACACUCAAUCAAAGAUCCAAAUCAGACAAAUAUCAUAAGAUCGAGCAUUCAAGCAUAUAGAUACUUAUAAAAAAAUAGUUUUGUUUUUGUCCCUGAGAUUAGGUCUCCUAUUCCCAAAAUUCACUUUAGGCAUAGGAUUUCAAAGUGUGAAAUCCACAUUUGUCUUUAGAAUGAAAAGGUAAGAAUAAUCAGAGUAAAGCGGAAAUAGAUGAGAGAAGAUUAAGAAAAGUUUAGAAAGAAUCAGAGUAGCAGAGGUAAGUAUUUAAUGGUUGUCCAGUUCUAUCUAGGUUUCGUCCUACAGUCAACAUUCCUCUGAUACCACUUCUAUCGCACCGGGUUUCCCAAAAUUCACUUUAGGCAUAGGAUUUCAAAGUGUGAAAUCCACAUUUGUCUUUAGAAAGAAAAGGUAAGAAUAAUCAGAGUAAAGCGGAAAUAGAUGAGAGAAGAUUAAGAAAAGUUUAGAAAGAAUCAGAGUAGCAGAGGUAAGUAUUUAAUGGUUGUCCAGUUCUAUCUAGGUUUCGUCCUACAGUCAACAUUCCUCUGAUACCACUUCUGUCGCACCGGGUUUCAGGGCACCAAGACCCGGGCGCGAACCUAAUCACCAGGUGUGCUGGGACCAAGUCUCACACAUAUGAUGAAUCAUGCCACAGGAUCGAAUGUCACAUCUUUACUAUAUAAUAGGAGUUUUGUACAAAAUAAAUAAAUAAUUACAUUAUAAGGAGACAACGGUCCAGCAACCCAAAGUUGACUGGGAGACGACGGCCUAGACCUCUCACGAACACAUCGCAGCAACCACCAUGCACCUCAUCUUGCGGUACCUGUUCUUGACCUGUGGGGGGGUGUGAGACAGCAAGACUGAGCUCACAUACGUUCAUCACUCAACAAGUUGUGGGGAAUAAUGUGCAUGAACUCGCCAAAGGUGGGAGCUCACGUGAAGUGUAAGGCUUACCAAAGAGGAUGGUUAGAGCUGAGCAUUGCUUUUAAAGUUGGUCAAAAUUUUAUUAGCAAUUACUAAGUAUAAGUAAAUACCAACCCAAUUAAGUAGCAGAACAAAAGUAACAACCUCACCUGCGAUGCAAUGCAUAUGACAAAUUGAAUUUAGUUCCAUAAAUUAAUCAUGUGAGUGUCCGAGCUGCUCAUGACCGUGAGCACGGCUAGUAUACCAGUUUUACACUCUGCAGAGGUUGCACAUCUUUACCCACAAGUCAUGUUACCCAUCUGCCAAGAGACGGCCAAUCCCAUACACCUCUACCGAGGAGGCGAGGCAGGGUAACACUACGAGGCCUUUACAAAGUUCCACUAGCUUCAGAAAACCCGCUACAGUUUAUAGGAAGCUCCAAUGCAGGAAUCCCUCGCAUGACCGCCAUCGCAGCAAAAUCAUCCCAAGGGCCUCCCUACACUGACCACUCCCCUACUGCCCUUGCCCCUUUCGAGUAAGGUAAUCAUCCACUAGCUUUCCUAGUUAAUCAGCCAAGGGCGUCCAUAAACCCUUGUGGUAGCACUGUUUUCCCGGGUGGUUCUCCAUGUUCCAAUUAACAUAAUGAUCUUAUCAUGAAUAGUAAAUAACAACUGAUAACAAAAGUGUAAUCAUGAAUAAUGUAUCUCCAUACCCAAAACCACAUAUAGCACUAGCAAGUACUACCCAGAAAGUUCAGUGGUAAACAAGGUAUAAAGAUAGACAAACUAGGGUAUCCUAUUGGGUCCCAUCAAAAUUAACCUAUGCAGAUCAUUAUGAUUAAUUAGAACAUGAGUGGGUAAAAAGAAGUGAUCAAGGGCACAACUUGCCUGGGACUUGAGAUUCCAGGUACCAACUUGCUCUUCAGAUGACACGAAACCUCAGGCUAGUCGUAGCAAUACAAAUAAACAUGGUAUUGGCAAGAUUAACAUCACACCAAACAUAAGAAUAAGUUGCGUAAUAAUAAUCUACGCAUCGCUACGAGAUCGCGGGAUCGAGAACCGCUAAAUUCGGAGUUACGGUUAUUGAGUUAUGUAUUUAUGAAGUUAUUGAGUACAUGGUAUAGUUUAAUUUAGAUGAAUAAUUUUAAUUCAUGUUACAUUGCUAAACAGAGGUACUAAGUGGUAGACAAUAUUAAAACAAAAUUAUUGCAACUGGAACGGAUCAAUUUGGAGCUAAAGUGGAUUAACUAUGAAUUAUACAAGUUUAUGGAGUUAUUUUCAUACUAAAAACCUAUUUCUUUAUUAAUUUCUGAAUAUCCUACGUGUUCUGGACUGGGCACAUUAUUUCUUAAAAGAUCAGGGGCCAAAAUGACAAUUGUCCCAAGACUCAGUAUUCCCACAGUAUGGACUGUGGGUUGAAUCUGGAAAACCAGAGGGUCUCUUUUGCAUAAUCGCACAUCCAAAAGGGUAUCUUGUGUUUUGAGCCGUUGGAUGCAAUUCUGAGGGCCACGAUUAGAUCCACUUGAGUCCGAACCGGUAUGCUCUAUCAAUCGUUGGAUCAAAAACCGUUGGCCCAGAUUUUAAUGUACUGCGAUCAGUUUAAUACGUGCGAUCUCGAUCCAACGGCUCAUGCAUUGGUUAUCCCUAGAUCUAAUCCGGUGCGCACAACAUGGAUCCAACGGCCAAAGGGAUUUCUUCCCAACCAACUGGACAACCACGACGGCGCACCAAAAUCUCACGGCGGUGCUCCACCGACGCACCCCAAUCGGCGCCCCGAGCUUUCGUUUUCCCAAACCGUUAGGUGCUAAAUCGAGAGGGAAGCAAGGUGAAAAGCUUGGGAAUGCACACACCUUGAAUAAUGUCGCGCCAUGCUUGGUUGACGACGGAUGGCGGCCCACGGCGGAGCACUAUCUCCGGUGAGCAAUUACUGGUGCUCCGGUGGAUUACUUCACCCGGGAAGGCCAAGAAAACCACCAUAACAACCCAAUGAAUCCCCCAAGCCCUUAGAUUGUCCCGAAUAACGAAAAGGUCAAGGAUUUCAAUGGCACCCCCUGUUCUCGCCCGCACACGACGAGGGGGCAUGCUGGUGGCUCACUGCGACCCGACUGCUUGUGCAAGGCAGAGGAGGUCUAGGUUAUAUAAUGGCCGAGGGAGAGAGUUCGGCGAUGGGGUUUGGCUGCAGCAGCGGGGUUCGCGGAGGA
rnacentral:lncRNA from 1 species